UACGUAGGGUGCGAGCGUUGUCCGGAAUUACUGGGCGUAAAGAGCUCGUAGGUGGUUUGUCGCGUUGUUCGUGAAAACCUGAGGCUUAACCUUGGGCGUGCGGGCGAUACGGGCAGACUGGAGUACUGCAGGGGAGACUGGAAUUCCUGGUGUAGCGGUGGAAUGCGCAGAUAUCAGGAGGAACACCGGUGGCGAAGGCGGGUCUCUGGGCAGUAGCUGACACUGAGGCGCGACAGCGUGGGAGCAACAGG
rnacentral:rRNA from 1 species